GAGGCUUCGAAUCCUACGUUUUGAAAUACCGAGCAGACGUUUAAAAAAAAAUCGUACGUUUGUUAUGUCCUCAAUGAUUUAAAGCAAUGAGUCUAGAAAUUAUAAGUUUAACUAUCGAAGUUGAUAAAGACAACAUGAAGCUUGUUUAGCAAUAAAGCAUUGAUGAUUUUAUGAAGAUUUAAUAAAAGUCUUUUACGAUCGUCUAUGUCAUCGUGUGUAAUGACAGGCAAAUGAAAAGCGAGAUAAAACAUACCACGGGUCGUACCAGAGAUAUACGUAGAGAUAUAAAGAUAGAGUGUGUAAGCAAGCUGAGAAAUACAAACCUCUCAUAUUCUUGUCUAAUAACACAUGCACAUUCGUACAGAAAUUAGACAAGCACAGAGGGAACCCUCUAUACAGCGUUCUCUUUCUAUUCCAAUAUUGCAUCCACUUGCACGGUAACAUAUGACUCCCAUACUCUAUCUUUAUCUUUUUAUGGCCUGUACCUCGCCGGUGAUCGUACCACAGACGACAGAUCAACUGCAUUAUUAACUUUUAAGGAAUCACAAAUAAUCAUAAUAAAAAAUUGCAAGAUUCAUUGCAAGUACAAUUGCAACGAUUACAAGAAAUACCCUCCUUCUCUUUGUUUCCCAAAUCUUUACGAUUUAUCUCCCUCUUUAUUGUUUUAUUUUCUUUAUAUAUACUAGAUAAUUUAUAAGUAAUGCAAAAUUACAAAUUACAUA